rnacentral:ncRNA from 1 species
UAAAGCAAGCUCAGGGAGGACAGAAACCUCCCAUGGAGCAGAAGGUCAAAAUCUCGCUUAAUCUUGAUUUUUCAGUACAAAUACAGACCAUGAAAGCUGG